AUUGAACGCUGGCGGCAGGCCUAACACAUGCAAGUCGAGCGGGGUUUUUCGGACCUAGCGGCGGACGGGUGAGUAAUGCGUAGGAAGCUACCCGAUAGAGGGGGAUACCAGUUGGAAACGACUGUUAAUACCCGCAUAAUGUCUACGGACCAAAGUGUGGGACCUUCGGGCCACAUGCUAUCGGAUGCGCCUACGUGGGAUUAGCUAGUUGGUGAGGUAAUGGCUCACCAAGGCGACGAUCUCUAGCUGGUUUGAGAGGAUGAUCAGCCACACUGGAACUGAGACACGGUCCAGACUCCUACGGGAGGCAGCAGUGGGGAAUAUUGGACAAUGGGCGCAAGCCUGAUCCAGCCAUGCCGCGUGUGUGAAGAAGGCCUU
rnacentral:rRNA from 1 species